rnacentral:rRNA from 1 species
GAUGAACGCUGGCGGCGUGCCUAAUACAUGCAAGUCGAGCGAACGGACGAGAAGCUUGCUUCUCUGAUGUUAUCGGCGGACGGGUGAGUAACACGUGGAUAACCUACCUAUAAGACUGGGAUAACUUCGGGAAACCGGUGCUAAUACCGGUUAAUAUUUUGAACCGCAUGGUUCAAAAGUGAAAGACGGUCUUGCUGUCACUUAUAUAUUGAUCCGCGCUGCAUUAGCUAGUUGGUAAGGUAACGGCUUACCAAGGCAACGAUGCAUAGCCGACCUGAGAGGGUGAUCGGCCACACUGGAACUGAGACACGGUCCAGACUACUACGGGAGGCAGCAGUAGGGAAUCUUACGCAAUGGGAGAAAGCCUGAAGGAGCAAAGCCGCGUGAGUGAUGAAGGUCUUCGGAUAGUAAAACUCUGUUAUUAGGGAAGAACAUAUGUGUAAGUAACUGUGCACAUCUUGACGGUACCUAAUCAGAAAGCCACGGCUAACUACGUG